rnacentral:rRNA from 1 species
AUGCCUUGUCACCGACCUUGUUGUGCCACGCGGGAAGCUUUGGUGUCUCGAUGUCGGCCUUGUGUUGCAUGUAGGUGGAGUACCCACCGCAGCCACCGGCGCCGUUGUGGUAGGAGUAGGACUUGUGCCCAACCUCAUCGAUUGCGGCGGGUGGAUGGCCGGCGCUGGUUGGUGAUGAUCGGUGCCGUUGUAGGAACUCCCAUGGUUCCCUGUGCGGUCGCGGCAGCGACGGCCGCCGACGUGGUCCUCUUUUCGAGUAGGCCGAUCUUCGCCGUAGUCGUCCGUUCUGCCGCCGCCGAUACAUGA